rnacentral:rRNA from 1 species
UCGGACGGCAGCGCGGGCUUCGGCCUGGCGGCGGAGUGGCGAACGGGUGAGUAAUACAUCGGAACAUGUCCAGUAGUGGGGGAUAGCCCGGCGAAAGCCGGAUUAAUACCGCAUACGAUCCUUGGAUGAAAGCGGGGGACCGAAAGGCCUCGCGCUAUUGGGGUGGCCGAUGGCGGAUUAGCUAGUUGGUGGGGUAAAGGCCUACCAAGGCGACGAUCCGUAGCUGGUCUGAGAGGACGACCAGCCACACUGGGACUGAGACACGGCCCAGACUCCUACGGGAGGCAGCAGUGGGGAAUUUUGGACAAUGGGCGCAAGCCUGAUCCAGCAAUGCCGCGUGUGUGAAGAAGGCCUUCGGGUUGUAAAGCACUUUUGUCCGGAAAGAAAUCCUCUGGGUUAAUACCCCGGGGGGAUGACGGUACCGGAAGAAUAAGCACCGGCUAACUACGUGCCAGCAGCCGCGGUAAUACGUAGGGUGCGAGCGUUAAUCGGAAUUACUGGGCGUAAAGCGUGCGCAGGCGGUGAUGUAAGACCGAUGUGAAAUCCCCGGGCUUAACCUGGGAACUGCAUUGGUGACUGCAUCGCUGGAGUAUGGCAGAGGGGGGUAGAAUUCCACGUGUAGCAGUGAAAUGCGUAGAGAUGUGGAGGAAUACCGAUGGCGAAGGCAGCCCCCUGGGCCAAUACUGACGCUCAUGCACGAAAGCGUGGGGAGCAAACAGGAUUAGAUACCCUGGUAGUCCACGCCCUAAACGAUGUCAACUGGUUGUCGGGCCUUCAUUGGCUUGGUAACGUAGCUAACGCGUGAAGUUGACCGCCUGGGGAGUACGGUCGCAAGAUUAAAACUCAAAGGAAUUGACGGGGACCCGCACAAGCGGUGGAUGAUGUGGAUUAAUUCGAUGCAACGCGAAAAACCUUACCUACCCUUGACAUGGACGGAAUCCUGCUGAGAGGCGGGAGUGCCCGAAAGGGAGCCGUCACACAGGUGCUGCAUGGCUGUUGUCAGCUCGUGUCGUGAGAUGUUGGGUUAAGUCCCGCAACGAGCGCAACCCUUGUCCCUAGUUGCUACGCAAGAGCACUCCAGGGAGACUGCCGGUGACAAACCGGAGGAAGGUGGGGAUGACGUCAAGUCCUCAUGGCCCUUAUGGGUAGGGCUUCACACGUCAUACAAUGGUCGGAACAGAGGGUUGCCAAGCCGCGAGGUGGAGCCAAUCCCAGAAAACCGAUCGUAGUCCGGAUCGCAGUCUGCAACUCGACUGCGUGAAGCU